rnacentral:lncRNA from 1 species
UACCCUCCCCAGACCCCACCUGGUGGGAGUAUACUGGGUAGUUGUUGUUGUUGUUGUUGCUGAUGCUUAUUCUUAUUGUGCAUAUAUCACAAAUAAUAUUUGGGCCUGAUAGGUGGUACGAUAAUAUCGAUGGCCUAAGUUGUAUAAAGCUCAGUUUGUCUGAUGCCUAAUUUCUUUGCUCUCAGUAAAGAAGAGUUAAAUCAGCAGAUAUGAAUCCAGGGGGUUAUACAGCAGAAGUUACAGGUCUUUCCCCUAAUACUACUGAAAAGGAUGUUCAUGAUUUCUUGGUUUCUGUGGGGCAAUUGAACAUGUUGAGAUUGUCAGGUGUGUUUAAUAUCUGGGAGUGCAUUUACAAUUUUAUCACUGAUACUCUAUAUUUCCGUGUCAAUGGUUUAGGAUGAAAAGAAACGAAUUGGAAGGGGAAUUAUGAGUAGAGUUAUAUCUUUGAACUCACGAAUGUAUCUUCCUUGUUUUGCUUUUGUUUCAAUUUCUUCAAAUCCCUCAAAGUUUAAACCGACCCCUUAAUUGCAUUGUACGUACAAUAUAAGAUCAUCUUUUGUCGUCUUUUCUAAUACACUUAGCUUGGUAUAUGUACGAUAAACAAGUUUUGUAGCCACUAUUGUUUCUUGGGUUAUUAUCUU